GAUGAACGCUGGCAGAAUGCUUAACACAUGCAAGUCUUUGGCACAUCUGUGCUUGCACAUGUUAUCCAAGUAGGGCGGGUGGGUAACGCGUCAAGUACUUACCCUACAUACAGGACUAACAGACGGACACGACUGCUAACCCCUGAUACGAUUACCUGCUCGACUGUACCUUGCAAUGAAAAGAGAUGCUGCAGGAGUUCUUUGCGUACUAUUUGCCUGUUGGUUAGGUGACUGCUCACCAAGGCGAUGAUAGGUAGCCGGCCUGAGAGGAUGAACGGCCACAAGGGGACUGGGAUACAGCCCUUACGCAUCUGGGAGGCAGCAGUGGGGAAUAUUGGACCAUGGGGGCAACCGUGAUGAAGCAAUUCGGAGUGUACGAAGAAGGUUUUCGGAUUGAAAAGUGCUUUAAGCAGCGAAGAAGAAAGUGACGGUACCUGAAGAAGAAGCGACGGCUAAAUACGUG
rnacentral:rRNA from 1 species